GUGGGGAAUAUUGGACAAUGGGCGCAAGCCUGAUCCAGCCAUGCCGCGUGUGUGAAGAAGGCCUUUUGGUUGUAAAGCACUUUAAGCGAGGAGGAGGCUCCUUUAGUUAAUACCUAAAGAGAGUGGACGUUACUCGCAGAAUAAGCACCGGCUAACUCUGUGCCAGCAGCCGCGGUAAUACAGAGGGUGCGAGCGUUAAUCGGAUUUACUGGGCGUAAAGCGUGCGUAGGCGGCUUUUUAAGUCGGAUGUGAAAUCCCUGAGCUUAACUUAGGAAUUGCAUUCGAUACUGGAAAGCUAGAGUAUGGGAGAGGAUGGUAGAAUUCCAGGUGUAGCGGUGAAAUGCGUAGAGAUCUGGAGGAAUACCGAUGGCGAAGGCAGCCAUCUGGCCUAAUACUGACGCUGAGGUACGAAAGCGUGGGGAGCAAACAGGAUUAGAUACCCCAGUAGUCC
rnacentral:rRNA from 1 species